rnacentral:rRNA from 1 species
AUUGAACGCUGGCGGCAGGCCUAACACAUGCAAGUCGAACGAGUGGCGGACGGGUGAGUAAUGUCUGGGAAACUGCCUGAUGGAGGGGUAUAAAUACUGGAAACGGUAGCUAAUACCGCAUACCAUCAGAUGUGCCCAGGUGGGCUUGGCUAGUUGGUGGGGUAAGGGCUCACCAAGGCGACGAUCCCUAGCGGGUCUGAGAGGAUGACCAGCCACACGGGAACUGAGGCACGGUCCAACCUCCCACGGGAGGCAGCAGUGGGGAAUAGUGCACAAUUGGCGCAAGCCUGAUGCAGCCAUGCCGCGUGUAUGAAGAAGGCCUUCGGGUUGUAAAGUACUAUCAGCGGGGAGGCGUUACCCGCAGAAGAAGCGCCGGCUAACUCCGUGCCAGCAGCCGCGGUAAUUC